ACGGGAGGCAGCAGUGGGGAAUAUUGGGCAAUGGGCGAAAGCCUGACCCAGCAACGCCGCGUGAAGGAAGAAGGUCUUCGGAUUGUAAACUUCUUUUAUGAGGGACGAAGGACGUGACGGUACCUCAUGAAUAAGCCACGGCUAACUACGUGCCAGCAGCCGCGGUAAUACGUAGGUGGCAAGCGUUAUCCGGAUUUACUGGGUGUAAAGGGCGCGUAGGCGGGAGAGCAAGUCAGAUGUGAAAUCCAUGGGCUUAACCCAUGAACUGCAUUUGAAACUGUUCUUCUUGGGUGCUGGAGAGGUAGACGGAAUUCCUUGUGUAGCGGUGAAAUGCGUAGAUAUAAGGAAGAACACCAGUGGCGAAGGCGGUCUACUGGACAGUAACUGACGCUGAGGCGCGAAAGCGUGGGGAGCAAACAGGAUUAGAUACCCUGGUA
rnacentral:rRNA from 1 species